rnacentral:rRNA from 1 species
UACGUAGGGGGCAAGCGUUGUCCGGAUUUAUUGGGCGUAAAGCGCUCGCAGGUGGUUUGUUACGUCGUGCGUGAAAGACCCCGGCUCAACUGGGGGGUGUCGUGCGAUACGGGCAGACUGGAGGCCAGUAGGGGGAUGCGGAAUUCCGGGUGUAGUGGUGGAAUGCGUAGAGAUCCGGAGGAACACCAGCGGCGAAGGCGGCAUCCUGGACUGGUCCUGACACUCAUGAGCGAAAGCGUGGGGAGCGAUCCGG